UACCUGGGACUGCCUAUCGAC
rnacentral:siRNA from 1 species